rnacentral:rRNA from 1 species
UGGGGAAUAUUGCACAAUGGGCGCAAGCCUGAUGCAGCAACGCCGCGUGCGGGAUGAAGGCCUUCGGGUUGUAAACCGCUUUCACCAGGGACUAAGGGUUUUCUUGACGGUACCUGGAGAAGAAGCACCGGCUAACUACGUGCCAGCAGCCGCGGUGAUACGUAGGGUGCGAGCGUUGUCCGGAUUUAUUGGGCGUAAAGAGCUCGUAGGCGGUUGUUUGCGUCGGAAGUGAAAUCUCAUGGCUUAACUGUGAGCUUGCUUUCGAUACGGGAUGACUUGAGGAAGGUAGGGGAGAACGGAAUUCCUGGUGGAGCGGUGGAAUGCGCAGAUAUCAGGAGGAACACCGGUGGCGAAGGCGGUUCUCUGGACCUUUCCUGACGCUGAGGAGCGAAAGCGUGGGGAGCAAACA